GGCAAUGGUGAUGUCAUAUUUGUGAAGUUCAAAACAUUUCUCCAACACAUUAAAAACAUUCAUGAAGGAUUUGAUGACCCUCUUUUUGACAAGUGCCUCCAUAGCAAGGAUAUCUCAACAAAAAUGUGGUUAAAAGAAGACAUGCAAAAGCAUCAAUACACUUCAACUACAAUCUGCUAAGAGGUGUCAGGAAAAACAAGGAUGGAACAGAACAACUAAAUGUCAACUACCCAAAGUUUAAAAACGGCGAGGCAACAGUCAGAAAUAUCCGCAAUCUUCCAAAAUAUGUUUAUAUUGAUGACAUCUAUAGUACAAUGGUAACUGCAUGCAAUGGGUCAAUGCUUGAGGACAACAAAAAGAAACUCAAAGACAUGGCACCGCCUCCACUUAGCUCCAGCUUCAACACAAAGCAGACACCUUGUGAUGCUAUUUGCAAGAGAAAUGAAAGGCUGAAAAAAGUUGUACAAGACAUUCCUCCAACAAACCCAGGUAGAUUCUAGAUACCAGUUAUUCGUUAUUUUCAUUAUUUUCACUAUAACAGAAUUUUGAAUUAUCUAUAUUUUUUAUGCUGAAUUCAUUUUUAUAUUAAAUGAGUCCAUGAUAUUGUAUUUAUACUUAAAUGAUUUGAUAUAGCACCAUUUCAGUUUCAGAGACAACAAUAGCAACAAGCACAAAAUAAAAAAGAACAAAAUUAUGAAGGUGAUCACCCAAUCAAAAGAUAUCCAAGUGCAGAGAACAAUAUUUUAAGUUGAUUAAAAUGAUUAUUUUCUGAAAAUAUAUCCAGGCCUUAUUCAAGCAUGUAGUUAAAUAAUACCAUGAAAGGAUAUUUGCUAAACAAAGUUUAUCAGAAGAGAAUAUUCUGCACCUAUGAGUUGGAGGUGUGUGCAUUAAACCCAUUUAUGGUGACCAGGUCUGCUUAGUGGGGAUGACUAACAAAUGUACAUAUCCUUUUAAAAUAUUCAUGAUACAUACAUACAUACAUACACACAUAAAUAUAUACAAACAUACAUACUACAAUUACUGUGCGUCUUUAAAGGCAUGGAGACAUGAUGAUUGGAGAUGGCAAUGAAAAUAAACAGCAGAAUGACUUUUGGUUGCUGUGAGAUUUAUCACAAUACUUGAACUUGUUUUGAUUUUUCAAAAAGGCUACAACCAAUUACAGUGGUUGCAAACAUCUAAGUAAACUAGAGUGAUCAUGCCAGAAGCAAAUGAUACACAGGGAAGGACAUCUAUCUACUCACUCAGUGCCUUUAAGUCUUCAUAUCCUUUGUAUUCUUUGUUUGGGAAUACCUUCCUUAUCUCAUGGUAGGCACAUGCAGGUCAAGGGAUUCUUUUUGCUCCAAGUUUUCCAUGGACUAACCUUGAGAAUUCCCGAUAUGCCACACUUCAAAGAAAGAUACAAAAAAAUCAUUAUUACUACAUUUCAGUGUUAAAGAAAAGUUAUCAUUUCGUUUCUGGUACAUGCUUUUAUAAGAAAUGAGAAAAACACAAACUUUGUGUCAAAUCUUGAAAUUUUUUAUGAACCAAACUGCUUUGUUGUUAGCUUGCGAUGGCUACAUUAUUUAUCUAUCAGUUAAAAAGUAAAUUUAAUUUUCUAAACAAAGUGCUCACUCGUUUUAAGAGUCCUUUUAAUAGUACUUUCUGAAGUCAAAUAUCGUUCAGCUGUUUGUCGCAAUGACCACUUCUCUAAAACAACUGGUCUGAAGCAUGGGUGCUGUGUAAUGCAGACGAUGUCCCCAACAGUAUCUUCUGAAACCAGUUCAUCAGCCAAUGCUUUUCCGCAGCCUUCUACCUCAAGGCAACAUUUACACUCUUUCGCAUUUUGCAGGAGGGAUAUGUCACAUUUCCCACAACUGCACUUAUCUUCGAAAUUACACAAACUUUAAGAGUAUAGUCAUAGGGCAUACUUUGAAAACGAGGGCCUAAAAAUAAUGAGUUAACCGAGCAAAACAAACUCAUUAUCAUUUUAGGCCUAAAAUCAGUAUGGCCUAAAAUUCGAAUUACUUAUGUGUAACUUAAACGAGUCAGCAAUGUAACUACGUACCAUAAACUCAGGUCAGUGCUGCAGUUUAAGCGUCUAGUUAGCUCUUUGUUUAGAAGUUUUUUUCCUCCAUCUCCUUGUUAUAUCUUCUUAUCCAUUCUUCAUCUGCGAUCUAAUCAUCCUGGUAAGUAUCCUCCCCCAAGACAAAAUCAACCGAUUCUAUUGCUGCAAGGCCGGUAUCUCUUCCUCCGACCUAAUUAUCCACCAUAUCCAUUUUUCUUCUUCAGCAAAUAAAUGCUUCAGAUUCUGACAUUCCUAAAGUUUCAAUACCUAUCUGCCGGCAUCUAAUCCAAGGAAAACGUUUAGUGUGCUAGGUUUAAGCACUGAAUUUAAUAUCUAUUGUGUGGCAAGGUGCGUUCCAAUUGUUACGUCACAAGCAUUUUGCAAUUGCUGGAUCCAGUCCCAUUUUAUGCGCGGUUAUUUUCUGGACCUUGACAGAUUAAAUUGGGUAUUAGGGGCAAUUAUCGAGAAAAUUAUCAAGAUUUUCGUUAUACCAUCAAAUUCAGGAUCAAAUUCUCUACCAGCAUCCUUAUUUUUGUGAAUGGUGAUAUUCGCCCUUUAAGCUGGAAGUUCACUUUAAGCCCUGAAAGUCUCUGAUUUUAUGUACAUUCCUUUGUCUUUUGAUAGUCUUUCGAUUAAUCCAUAAAAUAUGCUAGUUAAUUCAAAUAUAAGUUCAAUAUUCUGCAGUUCUUCCGAUAAUUCAAAUAUAACCUUGAUAUUUUCCAGCUUCUUUCGAUUUCGGAGUUAAAACUACUUCACCCCACAGGACUGAACAGCAAAAAGCAAAAAACAUGAGGGGUAACUGAAAAACAGCAGUAAAAAUCCCUUUCCAUUCAAACCCAAGAAAAGCUAUCUAUGCCAAUUCAUGGCAAAAUGAGGAUAGGGUGACAUUUCCCACAUCCGAUGAGGCAGGGGCUGUGGGUUUUGCGGCAGGGGCUGUGGGUUUUGCGGCCAUCAACAAGCAGUCUUGGUUUGCGGCUUAGUGGCCUAUAGGGUUUAAUAUUGCUGUUAAGGAACUUAUCCCCAUUCUGUUAGCAUCCUAUAUUUGGGGUUAUUCUUGGUCUUCCAUGCGUAUUGUGUUUAAAUGUGACAAUCAGGCGGUUGUGACCCUGUUGCUUAAUGGGAGUUGCAAAGACCAUCACUUGGCGUUCUUAUUUAGGGAGUUGUCUGAGCAGGCUGUUUUAUGUAGCUUUACAUUCUCUACAUUACAUUUGCUUUUCAUAUACCAGGUAAAUAUAAUGUCCAGGCUGACGUGUUAUCUCGUUUUGAAUUGCAGGAGCUUUGUAGGAGUGCUCCAGAUGCGGCUUCUGCUUCGUUGGUAAUUCAUCCCAAGCUUCUGUACAAACUGUUGUGUCCUGCUUGGAUGCAAAGUGGCAAGCGUACUUGACGAAUGCCCUGUUUAGCAUUACUAAACAACGUAUUCAUCAGCUCAGCGUCUUUUUAUCGACUUUGGUUUCUCUCAUGGUUUUCUCCAUGAUAAUGGGUCCCCAAUGCGAAAACACGCAAAGAUGCAGACUGUGGAUUAGACCACGACCAAGUCUGGAUAAAAAUUCAUGCAAAACUAAAGAAAAAAGUAAGCCAAGAAUAUGCAUCAACUCUGAACGAAACUAUCAAAAUCAAAACAGAAAUUACCGAAAGUCCAUGGAACCAUCUUAAUAAAGGUCUAACUGAGCUUGCAAAUAGAAUAUGUGGAAAAGGAGAACAUAUGAAAAAUGGAUGACAGAUAAAAUUUUUAGACAUCAUGAAAGAAAGAAGACUAGUGAAAGAUGAUAAAACAAAGUACAAGUCUUUAAGCUAAAUAAUAAACAAGAAAUUCAGGAAAGCAAAGGAACAGUUCUAUGAAGAAAAAUGUAGAGAAAUUGAACUCUUGGAUAAGGCACGCUCCUAAGCCAAAACUGGUUUUGUAACUCUGGAUGAUACAGGACUAGUAGUAGCCAUCUAUCGCCAUGUUAUUGCUUUGAAAGCUGUAAAUAUGUUUCCAGGAGAACAGUAUGGCUAUGCUCUGUAUCUGCACAAGGAGCUAAUGUCGAAUGUCAACAUCCAGUUUUUAUGGCAAGAUAUCAUGGGCAAAUACUGGCCAUGGCUUGAGAAAGUCAGCACAAGAGUGCCAGAAUUGUCACACUUGUUGUCGAUGUCCACAGCAUAAUCUGUUGUGCAUGCUAAAGCCCAUUCACUUGACUGUCAGGUAACUAAACUAAUGAUAAUGAUAAAUUAGACACGUAUUUUAGAACACAAAGCCUCGUUUUAGAACACAGAUUAUAGGAAUAGUAGCCCCAGUUAUGCCCGCUACGCUGGCAUGAUGCAGCCUUUCUGUCCAUGUGAGUGAAAUAUGUCAAGUUUUUGUUAAUGCAACACUCUGUUAAUGCAAAGAGUCUUUCAAAAUUGCUUUCGAGUUUAAUUAUGUUUUUCUCUACCCAGCUGUUUUUACAAUGUCUUUAUUGUAAAAUAACAUUUUUUUAGAUUGUCUGGGAGGGCUUGUACCAGGAAAAAGCGGCUUUGUCAACUGGCGAGUCCAUGGAGCAGUUUUUCUCCUGUCUAGCUAGAUGCGGGUUAACUACCAAGAACAUGAAUACAGCUGGUAUCUAAUUUUUUUAAAAUACUUAUCCAGACGAAGUUAAACCAAAGUUAUGGAAAAUGUCUUGAAGGAAUACAAAACAUCGAGUUUUGUUUAAUUUUCAAAUUUAUUAAACAUUUUCGUUGAUGUACUUUCUUCAAGUACUUGUAACUUAAAUGAAAGUGAAGUUCAUCUACUGUAUGUUUCUUAUUUCAGCUUGAAUAGAUUCGCUAACAGAGCACACUGCGUUCUGGAACAAAAGAAAAAUUGAUAACUUCGCAUUUUCAUUGUCAAAGCAAUACACAAAGUUUAUCUGGAUGACAUACUGGUCAGUGGUUCAACUGCAGAAGAGCACCUUACAAACUUAAAAAGGUUGUUUAAGCGACUGAGUGAGAGGGGACUAUGUUGUCGUUUCCAAAAGUGCUCAUUCACUCAAUCAUACGUCGAGUACCUGGAACAUCUGUUGCCCAGCAAAGGGAUAGCAAAAAGUCCUAAGGUUGAUGCUGUUUUGAAGAUGCCUGCACCCAAUGAUGUUUCUGGUCUACGAUCAUUUCUAGGAUUUCUAGGAUGACUGUCAAAGGCUGCUAUUGUGUCAUUAUUCAUACAAAAAAAAUUAAAUGAUCAGGCUGUAAAAUAAACAGAAGACAUUUCCUGCCAGGUCUACUUGAAGAAUUUGCAACAACAACCUCAAAGGAGCUUUCACUUGUAUCAUCAAUCAUAAUGCCCUUAAAAUUACCAGGGUCCCUAAGUGGCAGUCGAACUUGGGACAAGACAUCAGUAACAGAAAGAUUUGGUUGGUUAUCAGGUGGGUUGUGGAUGUUCUCAUACACUGAUACUCAAAGCUGGAUGCAGGCCUUAUAUUGCAUGGCUAAUUCUUCAGUAAUGUCCCCCAAGGAAAGAUGUAAAGUUUUGUCUACAAAGGAAAUUCCUGUAUACAAAGAAAUUACUGUACAAGCAUUGCACCAGAAUGAUCUUGCCAUCUGCUCCUUUGAUAUCUGAGAAGGGAAAAUGCAUUUACUGAUGUGAUCUCUGACAAAGAAAUGUGAAGAGAGAAUUAAACUUUCUUCAUGGGUACUCACUUCCUGCUGGGAUGAAUGAAAAUCACAAGUACAUGGAAUGCAAAGUCCUGAAGCAGAACAAAUACUUCCUGGGCAAAUUGGACCGUGCUUUUAUCGUCAGAUAUCUUUUUAUGCCCUUUCAUUUCAUGCUGACAGAUUCUACAAUGUGGGCAACGAUUAUCAUUACUUGAAGUACAGUCACUAGAAGAGAGUCCUUCAGAAAUUAAAUAAGAAGGAGGUGAGAGACUGUAUAAUUCUUCAGUUAGUUCCCCAAUUUUGUUUAUUACCUCUGCCUUUGUAAUGUCUUCUACACAUGGGUCAUCAUCAACUUCCUUAUUUGUUUCAUUAGAUAUAUUAUCAUUGAUAUCAUCUCUAACUUCCUGUGAUAAAACUGCAUUUUUUGCAAUUUUUGCCAGCCGCUCAAGCUCUUUUUUGAGAAAUGUUUGACAUAUAGGGCAUACAUCUUCAUUUGUCAAACAUCUUUUAUGGAAUGCAUAUGUACAUCCAUCAAACCGUUUCCAACAAAUAACAUCUCCACUAUUAUAACCUGGGAGGUCACACAACUUAUUUCCUUCGGGAAGAAACUUGCCUAGGUAACCUAUAGGAAGACAUUCAAGAGGAAUUUUUUCACAUCCCCACAAGUCCUUUUUAAUGCUAUAAUUGCCAGAAAUCUCUCUUUCUCUAAAUCUGUUCUUUGAAAAGACCUUGCAUAUUUUUGUAUGAAAGUCCAUUUAUUUUCGUCUGCUAUAGUAUCUUUCAUUUCUGGAUAUUGUUAGCAAACUGUUUGCAAUAAGUACAACACAUAAAUAUGUAUCCAAGAUUAAAGUCUGGCGUUCUCCUUUGGUUUCACCCAAUUUUUUUAAUGUGUUUAUAAUGGUCCAGUCUACAACAUUUUGCAGUAGUUCGUCCAAUUAAAAUAAUUGUAAAUAUUUGAUUGGCUUUGCAUCCAACAUUUGCUACCUCUGCAGGUUUCCACCUUUCAUCUACAGUUUCAGAAUCAGCUGAUUGUCUUCACACAUUUCCUCCCAACCGGCAUCUCGGCAUUUCGAAACGGAAUACCUCAAACUCCUCUUCUUCAUCAUCCGAAUCUCCAAAAACAUUGUAGAAUUUAUCAAUACAUUUGUUACUAAAAUCUCCGAUAUCAGCAGGAGAGGAAUCGCUACUUUUAGAAUCACUAUCACUCAAUGCACUACAGUCGCUCGACGCCAUGCUUCUUUCGCUCAACAAACAUGGCCUAACUCAAAACAAAGUUCAUCGCUUGAUAUUUCUGAAAGCACAACAAGCAUGCAAAAAAUGAUAUCAGGAUGGAAACUUCAGAACUUAUGUAGUUUGAGCCGUAGAAAAUAAUGCGAAACAGAUCCAAGCUGAAAAAUUCCUUCAAAAGCUUUUUUUAGAAAAUUGAACUUGGUCCCAUUCCUCAAAAUGAAAAGAGUCAGUUGCGAGUGAUGUAACAAUAAUAUUUCCACAAAAUUUGUUAUUUAUCUACAGUCAAUUAGAUUUUAUUUUAUUCAAAGCAAAUAGAGCCCAUUAAGUAUCUCAUUUUCUAUUUUGAGAACAUUGAACUUGGUCCCAGUCCUCAAAAUAAUUAAAGUGAUUUGCAAGCGACAUAGUGAGUGUAUCUGCACAAAAAUUGAUCAUAGAUCAUAGAUUUGAUUCGUGAAAUAUGAUACAAAGCCAUGAAGACUACGACCAUAAUAAGACCCCAUUUUCUAUUUUGAGAAAUGUUAGCUCGGUCUCUUACCCUGUAAUUGAAAAUAAAAUGCAACCACCGAAAGUUCUAUUACUAAUCGCGUAAAACAGAAACAUUUAUUUUAGUACUUAAAAACGGAUUUCGCAAAAUCUAGCACUUAAUUACCUUAGAUCAGUUUUUAGAAGGGGGCACUUGGCUCCAAAUUUCAAAUUUCUAAUAUGAUAUUUAAACUAUUUAUAUUUCAAGAUCAAUAUAUUGUCCACCACAUUGACAUAGUUCUGUGCACUCUGGUCCAUAACGCUUGCACUUGCAUCUAGGGGAACAAUUUCCCUUGAAACCGCAUUUUACAAGCUCAUGACAGGCCUGUGAU